GUGCAGCAGGCGAGAAUUUUUCUCAAUGGGGGCAACCCUGAAGGAGCGACGCCGCGUGGAGGAUGAAGGCUUUCGGGUUGUAAACUCCUGUCAUUUGGGAACAAGUUGGACGCAGUAACUACGCGUCCAUUGAUAGUACCAGAAGAGGAAGGGACGGCUAACUCUGUGCCAGCAGCCACGGUAAUACAGAGGUCCCAAGCGUUGUUCGGAUUCAUUGGGCGUAAAGGGUGCGUAGGUGGCGCCGUAAGUGGGGUGUGAAAUUUCGGAGCUUAACUCCGAAACUGCAUUCCAUACUGCGGUGCUUGAGGACUGGAGAGGAGACUGGAAUUCAUGGUGUAGCAGUGAAAUGCGUAGAGAUCAUGAGGAAGACCAGUGGCGAAGGCGGGUCUCUGGACAGUUCCUGACACUGAGGCACGAAGGCCAGGGGAGCAAACGGGAUUAGAUACCCUUGUAGU
rnacentral:rRNA from 1 species